GAUGAACGCUGGCGGCGUGCCUAAUACAUGCAAGUCGAGCGAACGGACGAGAAGCUUGCUUCUCUGAUGUUAGCGGCGGACGGGUGAGUAACACGUGGAUAACCUACCUAUAAGACUGGGAUAACUUCGGGAAACCGGAGCUAAUACCGGAUAAUAUUUUGAACCGCAUGGUUCAAAAGUGAAAGACGGUCUUGCUGUCACUUAUAGAUGGAUCCGCGCUGCAUUAGCUAAUUGGUAAGGUAACGGCUUACCAAGGCAACGAUGCAUAGCCGACCUGAGAGGGUGAUCGGCCACACUGGAACUGAGACACGGUCCAGACUCCUACGGGAGGCAGCAGUAGGGAAUCUUCCGCAAUGGGCGAAAGCCUGACGGAGCAACGCCGCGUGAGUGAUGAAGGUCUUCGGAUCGUAAAACACUGUUAUUAGGGAAGAACAUAUGUGUAAGUAACUGUGCACAUCUUGACGGUACCUAAUCAGAAAGCCACGGCUAACUACGUG
rnacentral:rRNA from 1 species